rnacentral:rRNA from 1 species
AUUGAACGCUGGCGGAAUGCUUUACACAUGCAAGUCGAACGGCAACACGGACUUCGGUCUGGUGGCGAGUGGCGAACGGGUGAGUAAUGUAUCGGAACGUGCCCAGUCGUGGGGGAUAACGUAGUGAAAAUUACGCUAAUACCGCAUACGAUCUAUGGAUGAAAGCGGGGGAUCGCAAGACCUCGCGCGAUUGGAGCGGCCGAUAUCAGAUUAGGUAGUUGGUGGGGUAAAGGCCCACCAAGCCAACGAUCUGUAGCUGGUCUGAGAGGACGACCAGCCACACUGGAACUGAGACACGGUCCAGACUCCUACGGGGGGCAGCAGUGGGGAAUUUUGGACAAUGGGCGAAAGCCUGAUCCAGCCAUUCCGCGUGCAGGAUGAAGGCCCUCGGGUUGUAAACUGCUUUUGUACAGAACGAAAAGGUUUCUACUAAUACUAGGAGCUCAUGACGGUACUGUAAGAAUAAGCACCGGCUAACUACGUGCCAGCCGCCGCUGUAA